rnacentral:rRNA from 1 species
GACGAACGCUGGCGGCGUGCUUAACACAUGCAAGUCGAACGGAAAGGCCCUGCUUUUGUGGGGUGCUCGAGUGGCGAACGGGUGAGUAACACGUGGGUAACCUGCCCUUGACUUUGGGAUAACUUCAGGAGACUGGGGCUAAUACCGGAUAGGAGCUCCUGCUGCAUGGUGGGGGUUGGAAAGUUUCGGCGGUUGGGGAUGGACUCGCGGCUUAUCAGCUUGUUGGUGGGGUGGCUUACCAAGGCUUUGACGGGUAGCCGGCCUGAGAGGGUGACCGGCCACAUUGGGACUGCGAUACGGCCCAGACUCCUACGGGAGGCAGCAGUGGGGAAUAUUGCACAAUGGGCGGAAGCCUGAUGCAGCAACGCCGCGUGCGGGAUGACGGCCUUCGGGUUGUAAACCGCUUUCGCCUGUGACGAAGCGUGAGUGACGGUAAUGGGUAAAGAAGCACCGGCUAACUACGUG